CAGGGAUUGGUGGUGAGAAAUCUUCAAGGAGAAACAGCUUAAAAUGAAAAGAGCUUGAAAUGUCAGUGUGUCAAUGCAUUUACAACGUAAUGUUCAGGGGAAAUAAGCGGAAGUAGCAGGAGAGAGAAACAGCUGAGUUAUCUACAGAGUUGAAAGUGUGGCCUAGGUUUAGAAUUCCCUUUCAAAUGUCAAGUUGGUGAGGACAUUUCCAAAUGUGUGGCUAUGGCACACGGGUAUGAGUUCACGCGGAUCCCAAGAGAAGCAGACAGACUCUGACCCAAGCUCUGCAUCACCCGGGUGUGUUGACGUCCCUGUUGUCGGAGAACGUGGCCGCUUCUUGUGAAGUGAGAGAAGAAAGCAGAAGACGUGUCUUCCUGAGAGGAGGCCACUGCUGGUGAGGAAGAGCCAUCGGCCCACGGCCAGAGUGCUCACCGCACCACCCCUUCUGUCCUCACAGCAACCCUGUGAGAUGGGCACCAGGAUUCUUGUUUCCAGACGAGGACACUGAGUGCCAGAGAACAUGAGCAAGUGACCCAGAUCAUUUGGCCAACAAAUGACGUCCGAUGGAAUGGAAAGUCAUGAAGAAAGAGGAAGGAGCGCUGCUGGGGUCAGCUGGUGGGUCAGGGGGCCGUGGUCUCUGACUCAUGGUUCAGCUUGCUGGGGGCGAGGCAGGGGACACCUGGACUAGGAGAGAAGCUGGAGCUGAGGUGACCCCAGGAGCAGCCACCGUGCUGCUGCUGCCUUGGCCAGCACAGUCCUGCCAUUCUCAGACUAGGACAGGGCCCGGUGGGGAGACAGAGUCGGGGGCUUCUGGUGUGCGAUACCUGCUCUGGCUUCAGUGAGGGUGAGCACAGAUUGGUUUUCCGGRGUCACUGUCAAUGGAAGAGGAAGAAACCUGUAGGGUUCUCUUCUAAUCUUUGCUUUCUCCAGAAACCACUCGUCACUGCCGGGGUAUGAGGUAUGAAUCUUGCACAAGCUGGGUUUGUCCCCACCAAAUGCAAGAUGUGUGACCUGUCUACGCUGGAGGACUACAUCUUCCCAGAGGGGCAGAGGCCUGGCAGAGCAUGCUUCUUUACAAAACACUCCCCAGAAGGGGACCCUGCAGGUGGGGUCAGCAUGAGAGAAACAGCAGAAUCAGGCCAUCUGAGAGCACGAGAUUCCAAAAUACCAAGUAGACACAAAGACAGCUGAAAGAUGAGAGUCCAACACUGGGCAAAACAGUGUCCAGGAAGUACAUCUCCAUUGACUUAGAGUUGCAGACAUGGUCACUUAUUUGAAGAUGGGGACUGCUUGGCUAGGGAAAGUUUUAAUAUGCAGCAGAGCUUAAUAUUUGCUGARUGCUUUGCAAGCAUGUCUUUGUCUCAUGGUGAGACUCUCAGGAUGGGUGAGCUUGGUUAUUGAUUUUUGGUUGCUAAGAGAAAAUGGUUAGGGCUACAUGGAUAGUGGAGAAAGGGAGAUGUUAUAGGAUUCUGGGGUCAAGAAAGACAGAGUGGCCCUUUGAUUCUCAAAUGCCAGUCCUCAGGCUUGGAACAAAGUGGCUGCUUCAGAAUUGCUUGAGGAGCUUGUUAGAGAGAUUUCUGAAGCCUAUCCCCAGAAAAGUUUGAUAUGGUAUCAUUUUUUCCUGCUUGAUUCUGACAUUAUUAGRAUUAAGAACUAAAGGAAUAGUUAAUAAAUAAGACUUAGAAGAUUGGAAUGCA
rnacentral:lncRNA from 1 species